rnacentral:rRNA from 1 species
GACGAACGCUGGCGGCGUGCUUAACACAUGCAAGUCGAACGAAGUGGCGCACGGGUGAGUAACGCGUAAUCAACCUGCCCUUCAGAGGGGGAUAACCGUUGGAAACGACUGCUUAUACCGCAUACUGAGGGAGGGGAUUUCGUUUGAUUAGCUAGUUGUAGGGGUAACGGCCCACCAAGGCGAUGAUCAGUAGCCGGUCUGAGAGGAUGAGCGGCAAAAUUGGGACUGAGACACGGCCCAGACUCCGACGGGAGGCAGCAGUGGGGAAUCUUCCGAAAUGGACGAAAGUCUGACGGAGCAACGCCGCGGGAGUGAUGACGGCCUUCGGGUUGUAAAGCUCUGUUAAUCGGGACGCGGUACCGGAAUAGAAAGCCACGGCUAACUACGUGCCAGCAGCCGCGGUAAUUC